GCAGAAUCCCGUGAACCAUCGAGUCUUUGAACGCAAGUUGCGCCCUAGGCCUUCGGGCCGAGGGCACGCCUGCCUGGGCGUCACGUAUCGUGUCGCCCGC
rnacentral:rRNA from 1 species